rnacentral:lncRNA from 1 species
AUGACCUAAAUUUUAAUUCCUAAGAAUAGAUAGUUGCAUUUAAUGUUUAGAACAGAUAUUUUCUGUAAUGUGGCAUAAUGACUUUGAAAAAUAAUAUCAGCUUUAGAAAAAGAGAUUUUCAAAUUUUGUUCUCCUAGUCAAAUCAAUUAGUUUUGGCCACCAUGACUAUUGGAUGAACACUUUUGGGGAGCAGAGGGUCAGCCAGGCACUUAUGCAACUAUAGUUCUUAAGGUAUGGGUAUGGAAUAAGGCGAAACAUUCCAGAGCUGAUUAUGCAACCUUGUUUCCAGGUGCUGUAGAUGGGUGUUUCCGUGAGCUCUGUUUUUAACAGUCAGCAAUUGGUACAAUCUUGGUUUUAUCCUCUGAUGCUCAAUUAAGGGUCACCAGAAGUAUGCUGAUCCACACGUCUGCAGUUUCUCAAGAGAACAGUCAUUCCUCCCUUGUUCUCAACUGGAGAACCUAAGGUAUGUUUUCUUCACAUGGGAUGAGGGCAGAUUCUCUUUGUGCCAGUUUCUGUGUAGGUCAAGUAUGGAAG